rnacentral:rRNA from 1 species
UCCUACGGGAGGCUGCAGUGGGGGAUAUUGCACAAUGGAGGAAACUCUGAUGCAGCAACGCCGCGUGAGGGAAGAAGGUCUUCGGAUUGUAAACCUUUGUCCUCGGUGACGAUAAUGACGGUAGCCGAGGAGGAAGCUCCGGCUAACUACGUGCCAGCAGCCGCGGUAAUACGUAGGGAGCGAGCGUUGUCCGGAUUUACUGGGUGUAAAGGGUGCGUAGGCGGCUCUGCAAGUCAGGUGUGAAAACUAUCGGCUCAACUGAUAGACUGCAUUUGAAACUGUGGAGCUUGAGUGAAGUAGAGGCAGAUGGAAUUCCCGGUGUAGCGGUGAAAUGCGUAGAGAUCGGGAGGAACACCAGUGGCGAAGGCGAUCUGCUGGGCUUUAACUGACGCUGAGGCACGAAAGCAUGGGUAGCAAACAGGAUUAGAUACCCUGGUAGUCAAC